rnacentral:rRNA from 1 species
UGAGAAAAUAACACAUGAGCGUACGAUGUACGUUUGUAGAGUAUCGUGUCAUUUAUUUCGCGCAAACACCAAUACAAUCGUGAGAUUAAGAAGUAUUCCUCACAACAAGCAUCCCAUGGGAUUACCCCAAGGGCAAUGGCUUCAAAGAUUCGAGAUUNCAGAGCGGAUUCUAUUNCUAUCCAUUUCCCGCUUCUUCAUCAUGCAGAACCAAGAGAUCCGUUGUUGAAAGUUUUAAGAAUUUUUUGAAAAAAUUGUUUUUAGAUAGAUUUUUUUUGUUGUAAAAAAAACCGUGUGUAAGAAUAUUAUGUUAAUGAUCCUUCCGUAGGGGGNCCUGCGGAAGGAUCAUUAACAUAAUAUUCUUACACACUGUUUUUUUUACAACAAAAAAAAUCUAUCUAAAAACAAUUCUUUACAAGAAAUUCUUAAAACUUUCAACAACGGAUCUCUUGGUUCUCGCAUCGAUGAAGAACGCAGCGAAAUGCGAUACGUAAUACGAAUCGCAGCUCUCGGAAUCAUCGAAUCUUUGAACGCACAUUGCACCAUUGGGUAUUCCCAAUGGUAUGCUUGUUUGAGCGAAUACUUCCCUAAUCCUCACGGAUUGUAUUGUGUUUGCACGAAAAUAAUGACGACAGUACUCUACAAAACGGUACCGUCAGUACACUCAUUUUUUUUCCUCAAAUCAAGUAGGACUACCCGCUGAACUUAAGCAUAUCAAANGCGGAGGAAAA